AAAUCCGACGUGUCUGUUGUUGCACGUCAAUAUAUAACAAGCAGUUAUAUAUUAAGAUGUUAUGCAGAAGUACAACCAUUAACUUUAGGUCUAUUCCAUUUCUAUCAUCUUUAAACGUAAAUAAUGAAACGAAGCAAGAAAUUUGGCUACUAGCUGUAGAAAUUUUUGGUUCUUCGAUACAACGUGUAUCUAAAAAUAUGAUGGUGGUGAAAUGUAAAGAUUCACCUAAGCAUCCAUCCAUCGUAUUAAAAUAUUCAUUUUUUGUUACAAAAUUAAAACCAAGGAGAUGGAAUAUCGUUAUUUUUGUUCUUCUUUAUUACGUUUAAAGAAAGUAUAGGAAAAAGUACAGCAUGACAACGCGAACCAGAUGUAGCACAACGUUUCUCAAGAUAAACGUUGCCUAAAUUAUUAUGCUUUUUAUAUAUUAGUGCACUUACCAGCAUUUACAAAAUUGUCAGAAGAAUUUAGUUGUUAUAUUAAUUUAGAUGGAAAUGAGUUAAGCAUAUCAAAACAACAUUAACAUUAAGAAUGUUAUGUAAUGACGAACAAGAUAAAAUAAGCAGGGGUUGGUAAGAAGAUUCGUAUUAAUUUUUUAUGAAAUAUUCAUUUUACAAUAAAAAAAAAUUUGAGAUCUCGAUAGUUUGAAUACGAAGAAUAUAGAUACACGUCUUUCGAGAUGAUGAGUUUAACAGUUGAAAGUGAACGGACGGAAGUAGAUUAAAUUUGGAUUCAACGAUUCAAUUUAAAAUCUACUAUUUUACCACAUAGUAUCGUUGAAAAUAUUGAAGUAGAACGUGAUCGUAACCUUAUUAGAAGAUAAUAUGACAUCUAUCCAAUAUAUCUUAAUAUGAUAUUUCAUAUUACAUUUCAAUGAUAUAUCAGGCUAUACUAUAGAUUGGCAUUGUGAUAUUAUAGAAGUUUGAAAAUGAUAUGAUGAACGAUAUGUAAUUAAACAAAUAAAUGAUAAAUUUAUGAACGAUAAAAUAAACGAAUAAAAAUAAAUCUGAUGAUGUUUUCAUGUAAACAGCGGUAUUCUUACGCAUCCAGAAGCAUUCAUGACAACAAUAAUAAUCUUUAAAUUAUUAAUGAAUGCUUUAAAAAAAGAAAAAGCAAAUGUAAUAUA